AGCGGUAGUGGACGCGCGACACGGAGCGGAACUUCUCUUUUUUAGAUUUUAAGCUUCGCGCUCGCUAAUAACUCGGUAAUCUGCGAGGAUUCGUAUCGCGUCUAUUCGCGCUAUUUCCGCGAGCGAGGAAACUAAAUCUCAUAUCGCAACGUAACGGAGAAGUGAACAGAGGAAGUGAAGGAGUGGAAAGAAGGAGACCUGGUGGAACGUGGUGCGCGUCGUUAUUUUCUUUCGAUUGCAUCGAAAACGAGUUUGCAGCAUUGGAGGAACGAGUUCGAGCAAUCUCAAGACAGUUUAAAGUUUUGACAGAUUGUUUACACACCGAAGAGAAGUUUGCGGCGCCGAAGGAGCCGUAAGACGGCCGCAAUCUCAAGACAGUCUACAGAGUAGUUGUAUAUUUGCAAGUUCAAAACAAUACACAUUUUAUUUUAAAACUUCAAAUAAGUUUGUGUAUUUAACUUAUUAAAAAAUUUAACUUAUUUAAAAAUCUUUCUUUUAUAGUUAAUUCUAUUAAUUUUCUUUGGUCUUUUGGUGUUUAAGACACAAUCACGCAGAAGAGAGGUGUUCGUUUUGCGAGCCAGGAGAGCCGACUCGGGCAAUAGGAUGCUGGCACGAAGAAAUAUGGAAUUAGCGGCUCUUUGGUCCAACUUAAUUAUUUCUUAUUUUGUUAAGCCGUUUUUUACUUAACUAGUACAACACAGGCGCGCCCUACGCGC